AGCUGAGUAGUAUUAUUAAGUUAAAACGCCUGCCUGAUAUGCAGGAGUAAUAGGUGCAAAUCCUAUCUCAGUUU
rnacentral:tRNA from 1 species